GUGCUUAUCACAUGCAAGUCGAACGAUCCUUCGGGAUAGUGGCGGACGGGUGAGUAACGCGUGGGAAUCUGCCCUUAGGAGGGGGAUAACGGCUGGAAACGGCCGCUAAUACCCCAUAUGCCGAGAGGUGAAAUGAAUUUCGCCUGAGGAUGAGCCCGCGUCUGAUUAGCUAGUUGGUGGGGUAAAGGCCUACCAAGGCGACGAUCAGUAGCUGGUCUGAGAGGAUGAUCAGCCACACUGGGACUGAGACACGGCCCAGACUCCUACGGGAGGCAGCAGUGGGGAAUUUUCCGCAAUGGGCGAAAGCCUGACGGAGCAACGCCGCGUGAGGGAUGAAGGCCUCUGGGCUGUAAACCUCUUUUCUCAAGGAAGAAGAACUGACGGUACUUGAGGAAUAAGCCACGGCUAAUUCCGUGCCAGCAGCCGCGGUAAUACGGGAGUGGCAAGCGUUAUCCGGAAUUAUUGGGCGUAAAGCGUCCGCAGGCGGCCUUGUAAGUCUGUUGUUAAAGCGUGGAGCUCAACUCCAUUUAAGCAAUGGAAACUACAAGGCUGGAGUGUGGUAGGGGCAGAGGGAAUUCCCGGUGUAGCGGUGAAAUGCGUAGAUAUCGGGAAGAACACCAGUGGCGAAGGCGCUCUGCUGGGCCAUAACUGACGCUCAUGGACGAAAGCCAGGGGAGCGAAAGGGAUUAGAUACCCCUGUAGUCCUGGCCGUAAACGAUGAACACUAGGUGUCGGGGGAAUCGACCCCCUCGGUGUCGUAGCCAACGCGUUAAGUGUUCCGCCUGGGGAGUACGCACGCAAGUGUGAAACUCAAAGGAAUUGACGGGGGCCCGCACAAGCGGUGGAGUAUGUGGUUUAAUUCGAUGCAACGCGAAGAACCUUACCAGGGUUUGACAUCCUGCGAAUCCCUUGGAAACGAGGGAGUGCCUUCGGGAGCGCAGUGACAGGUGGUGCAUGGCUGUCGUCAGCUCGUGUCGUGAGAUGUUGGGUUAAGUCCCGCAACGAGCGCAACCCACGUCUUUAGUUGCCAGCAUUCAGUUGGGCACUCUAGAGAGACCGCCGGUGAUAAACCGGAGGAAGGUGUGGAUGACGUCAAGUCAUCAUGCCCCUUACAUCCUGGGCUACACACGUACUACAAUGCUACGGACAAAGGGCAGCAAGCUCGCGAGAGUUAGCAAAUCCCAUAAACCGUGGCUCAGUUCAGAUCGUAGGCUGCAACUCGCCUACGUGAAGGAGGAAUUGCUAGUAAUCGCAGGUCAGCAUACUGCGGUGAAUACGUUCCCGGGCCUUGUACACACCGCCCGUCACACCAUGGAAGUUGGCCAUGCCCGAAGUCGUUACUCCAACCCUUGUGGAGGAGGACGCCGAAGGUGGGGCUGAUGACUGGGGUGAAGUC
rnacentral:rRNA from 1 species